GGGAGGCAGCAGUGGGGAAUAUUGCACAAUGGGGGAAACCCUGAUGCAGCGACGCCGCGUGAAGGAAGAAGUAUCUCGGUAUGUAAACUUCUAUCAGCAGGGAAGAAAAUGACGGUACCUGACUAAGAAGCCCCGGCUAACUACGUGCCAGCAGCCGCGGUAAUACGUAGGGGGCAAGCGUUAUCCGGAUUUACUGGGUGUAAAGGGAGCGUAGACGGAUGGACAAGUCUGAUGUGAAAGGCUGGGGCUCAACCCCGGGACUGCAUUGGAAACUGCCCGUCUUGAGUGCCGGAGAGGUAAGCGGAAUUCCUAGUGUAGCGGUGAAAUGCGUAGAUAUUAGGAGGAACACCAGUGGCGAAGGCGGCUUACUGGACGGUAACUGACGUUGAGGCUCGAAAGCGUGGGGAGCAAACAGGAUUAGAUACCCUGGUAGUCCACGCGGUAAACGAUGAAUGCUAGGUGUCGGGGAGCAAAGCUCUUCGGUGCCG
rnacentral:rRNA from 1 species